rnacentral:misc_RNA from 1 species
GUGAGUCAUCGAAUCUUUGAACGCACCUUGCGCUCCUUGGUAUUCCGAGGAGCAUGCCUGUUUGAGUGUCUUGAAGUCAUCAACCCCUCCCGUUUUGUGCGGAGAGGCAGGUUGGAUCUGGGGGCCUGCUGCUGUCUGGCGGCUCCCCUCAAAUGCGUCGGUUGGGCCUGUGGGUCGAACUCGGUCGGGCGUUGUACCAUCCUCGCUCUUGUCCGAGAUGUUCCCCCUUUACUGAGCCCUUCCCAGACUGCCUGUGGAGCGGCAGUCAAGCUGAACUUUGAAAUCUGACCUCAAAUCAGGUAGGACUACCCGCUGAACUUAAGCAUAUCAAUAAGCGGAGGA